rnacentral:tRNA from 1 species
GUUGUGGCUCAGUGGUAGAGCACUUGCCUAGAACAAUGUUCGUGAGGCACUGGGUUCAAUCCUCAGCACACA